GACGAACCACACAAACGUUAUUCGGAAUUACUGGGCGUAAAGGGUGCGUAGGCGGCGCGGUAAGUCGGGUGUGAAAUCUCGGGGCUUAACUCCGAAACUGCAUUCGAUACUGCCGUGCUUGAGGACUGGAGAGGAGACUGGAAUUUACGGUGUAGCGGUGAAAUGCGUAGAUAUCGUAAGGAAGACCAGUGGCGAAGGCGGGUCUCUGGACAGUUCCUGACGCUGAGGCACGAAGGUCAGGGGAGCAAACGGG
rnacentral:rRNA from 1 species